rnacentral:tRNA from 2 species
AGUGUAUGUAAUUUAAAAAAAAUAUCAAGCUGUGACCCUGACAUUAGGACCCUCAUACACC